rnacentral:rRNA from 1 species
CGAUUCUGAAGAAGGAUGAUUCCGCCCACCACUGGACUGAGAACACGUCCAGACUCCUACGGGAGGCAGCAGUGGGAUAUUGGACAAUGGGCGCAAGCUGAUCCAGCAUGCGCGUGUGUGAAGAAGGCGUUAUGGUUGUAAAGCACUUUAAGCGAGGAGGAGGCUACUUUAGUUAAUACCUAGAGAUAGUGGACGUUACUCGCAGAAUAAGCACCGGCUAACUCUGUGCCAGCAGCCGCGGUAAUACAGAGGGUGCAAGCGUUAAUCGGAUUUACUGGGCGUAAAGCGCGCGUAGGCGGCUAAUUAAGUCAAAUGUGAAAUCCCCGAGCUUAACUUGGGAAUUGCAUUCGAUACUGGUUAGCUAGAGUGUGGGAGAGGAUGGUAGAAUUCCAGGUGUAGCGGUGAAAUGCGUAGAGAUCUGGAGGAAUACCGAUGGCGAAGGCAGCCAUCUGGCCUAACACUGACGCUGAGGUGCGAAAGCAUGGGGAGCAAACAGGAUUAGAUACCCUGGUAGUCCAUGCCGUAAACGAUGUCUACUAGCCGUUGGGGCCUUUGAGGCUUUAGUGGCGCAGCUAACGCGAUAAGUAGACCGCCUGGGGAGUACGGUCGCAAGACUAAAACUCAAAUGAAUUGACGGGGGCCCGCACAAGCGGUGGAGCAUGUGGUUUAAUUCGAUGCAACGCGAAGAACCUUACCUGGCCUUGACAUAGUAAGAACUUUCCAGAGAUGGAUUGGUGCCUUCGGGAACUUACAUACAGGUGCUGCAUGGCUGUCGUCAGCUCGUGUCGUGAGAUGUUGGGUUAAGUCCCGCAACGAGCGCAACCCUUUUCCUUAUUUGCCAGCGAGUAAUGUCGGGAACUUUAAGGAUACUGCCAGUGACAAACUGGAGGAAGGCGGGGACGACGUCAAGUCAUCAUGGCCCUUACGGCCAGGGCUACACACGUGCUACAAUGGUCGGUACAAAGGGUUGCUACCUAGCGAUAGGAUGCUAAUCUCAAAAAGCCGAUCGUAGUCCGGAUUGGAGUCUGCAACUCGACUCCAUGAAGUCGGAAUCGCUAGUAAUCGCGGAUCAGAAUGCCGCGGUGAAUACGUUCCCGGGCCUUGUACACACCGCCCGUCACACCAUGGGAGUUUGUUGCACCAGAAGUAGCUAGCCUAACUGCAAAGAGGGCGGUACCACGGUGCCCAAG